rnacentral:rRNA from 1 species
GCUUAUUGCGCGGCGAAAAACCUUACACACAGUGUUUUUUGUUAUUACAAGAACUUUUGCUUUGGUCUGGACUAGAAAUAGUUUGGGCCAGAGGUUUACUGAACUAAACUUCAAUAUUUAUAUUGAAUUGUUAUUUAUUUAAUUGUCAAUUUGUUGAUUAAAUUCAAAAAAUCUUCAAAACUUUCAACAACGGAUCUCUUGGUUCUCGCAUCGAUGAAGAACGCAGCGAAAUGCGAUAAGUAAUAUGAAUUGCAGAUUUUCGUGAAUCAUCGAAUCUUUGAACGCACAUUGCGCCCUCUGGUAUUCCAGAGGGCAUGCCUGUUUGAGCGUCAUUUCUCUCUCAAACCUUCGGGUUUGGUAUUGAGUGAUACUCUUAGUCGAACUAGGCGUUUGCUUGAAAUGUAUUGGCAUGAGUGGUACUGGAUAGUGCUAUAUGACUUUCAAUGUAUUAGGUUUAUCCAACUCGUUGAAUAGUUUAAUGGUAUAUUUCUCGGUAUUCUAGGCUCGGCCUUACAAUAUAACAAACAAGUUUGACCUCAAAUCAGGUAGGAUUACCC